CGAGCAGACAAGACAGCGGCGUGCGGCCGAAAGGCGCGCAUGAGGAAAGUCCGGGCUCCACAGGGCGGGAUAGCUGCUAACGGCAGCCGAGGGCGACCUUAGGGAAAGUGCAACAGAGAGAUACCGCCCGCCGUCCCGGCGGGUAAGGGUGGAAAGGCGAGGUAAGAGCUCACCGGCGUUUUGGAGACAAAGCGGCCCUGUAAACCCUAUCCGGAGCAACACCGACAGAAGGCGAUACGGCGGCCCGUCGUGCCUUCGAAAGCGUGGCUGGAGCUGUUGGGGCGACCCACAGCCAAGAUAGAUCGUUGUCAAAUACAGAACCCGGCUUAUAUGUCUGGUCGCAGA
rnacentral:RNase_P_RNA from 1 species